UUUUUUUUUAUUAUUUUUUUAUUUGUGACCGAUUUGUGAAUCGAUUGCUGAUUUUUAUAACUGAUUGAGAAUCAAUUGCAAAGUUUUCUCUUAAAAAAUUCUCGCUCAACUUUUAAAAGAAAUUAACAAUCGAAAAUCAGUUGCUAAUUCUCUUAUAUAAACUAUUACUCGUUUUUUUCCUCACUACUUAUUUUCUUUCCUUUUCUUCAUCAUCUUUUUCAUUCUCAUCAAUUUUAUUGGUUUUCUUUUUCUUUCUAAUCUAUUUUCUUUAUCAUAUUUUUCUUUCUCAUCUA
rnacentral:misc_RNA from 1 species